AGAAGAGGUUUCAACUCUGCUCAGCUGGAGCACUGCCCUUCUCCCUGAGACUCUCAUUUCCCGCUUCACAUUUCAGUGAGUCAAACAAAAAGGAAAGAGAGUAGCUCUUGGAAGACUGGAGAGCAGAUGGCAAAGAGGCCCAGAAACUCCCUCAAGGCCAAUCAGCAAGGGAUAACAUUUCUGCCUGGAAAACUGAUGGAAGAACCCAGCUCCUCCAGGAAGUCUUCCUUGUUAAGGUAGGAGAAGAGAGGAUUUUCUUAUGCUUUGAUCAUCCCAUCACACUGCCAAGACUUGUCUCCCCUUACCAAUUCCUUAACCGUUUUAUGCAGCACUUUAUAGUCCUUUCCCAGCACCCCACAAAUUAACUGAACUAGGUCCAUUUGGUUUCUUCAGGUCUCUCC
rnacentral:lncRNA from 1 species